UGGGGAAUUUUGGACAAUGGGCGAAAGCCUGAUCCAGCAAUGCCGCGUGUGUGAAGAAGGCCUUCGGGUUGUAAAGCACUUUUGUCCGGGAAAGAAAUCCUCUGGGUUAAUACCUCGGGGGGAUGACGGUACCGGAAGAAUAAGCACCGGCUAACUACGUGCCAGCAGCCGCGGUAAUACGUAGGGUGCAAGCGUUAAUCGGAAUUACUGGGCGUAAAGCGUGCGCAGGCGGUUUUGUAAGACGGAUGUGAAAUCCCCGGGGCUUAACCUGGGAACUGCAUUCGUGACUGCAAGGCUAGAGUAUGGCAGAGGGGGGUAGAAUUCCACGUGUAGCAGUGAAAUGCGUAGAGAUGUGGAGGAAUACCGAUGGCGAAGGCAGCCCCCUGGGCCAAAUACUGACGCUCAUGCACGAAAGCGU
rnacentral:rRNA from 1 species